GGAGAGAUGGCUGAGUGGUUGAUAGCUCCGGUCUUGAAAAUCGGUAUAGUUCUUUGAGACGAACUAUCGAGGGUUCGAAUCCCUCUCUCUCCU